GAGCCCGUAGCUCAGUCGGUUAGAGCGCUAGGUUGUGGCCCUAGAGGCCGUGGGUUCAAUUCCCAUCGGGCUCCCA
rnacentral:tRNA from 1 species